rnacentral:rRNA from 1 species
UACGUAGGGGGCUAGCGUUGUCCGGAAUCAUUGGGCGUAAAGAGCGUGUAGGCGGUCCGGUAAGUCCGCUGUGAAAGUCGGGGCUCAACCCUCGAAUGCCGGUGGAUACUGUCGGGCUAGAGUGCGGAAGAGGCGAGUGGAAGUUCCUGGGUGUAGCGGUGAAAUGCGCAGAUAUCAGGAGGAACACCUAUUGCGAAGGCAGCUCGCUGGGACGCAACUGACGCUGAGACGCGAAAGCGUGGGGAGCAAACAGG